GAGAACGAUGAAAACGUUAGAACGAGUCGGCAGCAAUCGGGAAAGCGAGUUGCGAUUUACCGUUUGUGCCCUUCUAAUGUGCCGAACACAACGAUGACGGAAUGCAAUUGCGGAUACGAGUGUAUGACAGUUGAUUGAUGUUUGUUUGCUGUAGUACUUCGAACAUUUUAGAGUAAAAAUUUCAUUUUUGUAGCCAGUGUAAUUGUAAAGUGAAUCUAAUUAUUGUACCUUCACCAUUUCGUUUAUUGGAAUGUUUUAUCUUCAGAAAAGGCUCCCUUUGCUGCAUCCUGCUUCGGUUCAGUGAUCCAGAGGUUUUUCCACUUAGCGGCGUCUCCAAUCCGAUCGCUCUUCAAAUCCGAUUCCGGCCAAGCUUCGAGCGGAAACUGGAAGCCGUCUAUUACACCCGCUAUCACCAACAUCAAACAGAUCACCUUGUGUGUCAUGCUUACUAGACGACACGUGCUUGACUAACCACGAUCGCACUUUGCCAGAUUAAUACAAGUAGACAUCCGUUUUGGUCAAAAUUCGGCAGCCCCUCCGUGGUACACAAAUCUGCGCAUCGAUGACUUGCAAAUCGAAUGAAUGGAUGAUGACGGAACUGUUGAACCGACCCGCACCCGGCAGACUUCCGAGAACGUUUGAGAGCGACGCGCUUGCAACAACAACGAGAAAGGGGCUUUUCAUGGCGAUUAUCUGCCAGCUUUACAACGCGGAUAAACUCGUUAGGCUCUGAUCGAUCGACGGGUGUGAUUUUGAUUGUAAUCUUCGAAGCGUCGUAAUUGAGCACACGGAAGGUAAGGCGGAUUUGUUUAUUACGUGUAAAACCAGUAGCACAAUGUCGAUGACUGGUUUAAUUGAUGGGUUGACAACUGAGACUCCGGUGGCGGUUGAUUUAAUGCUGGUGUGGUAUUACUCUAACAAUGAGGUGUAAAAGCAACAAGUUGAAUUUCAAAUUAAAGAUUGAACAGCAUCUUCCGAAACACCAUAUAUAGGCUGAAUCAGAAUGUAAGACUUUCGCUAAGCUGAAAGACAAAAAUUGUGAUUUUGGGUGGAACUGCCAACAUUUGUUGACAGAGAAAAAAAAGACAAAAAUAGACCAUGUAAAUAACAAUCACUACCUAUGCCUCAUAAGUUCGUAAAUCAUUCUUAAUUCAAAAAAAAAAAAAAAGAAA